AGCCGAUGAUGGGGGACACUCCUUUGUAAAUCCUUGAAACGCUCCCAUGCCUCAUAAAGUGACUCCCCUUCAAAUUGAAUAAAUUCAAGAAUAUCCUUGGUCAACUU